rnacentral:rRNA from 1 species
UGAGUACGACGGAGCACGUGAAAUUCCGUCGGAAUCUGGGAGGACCAUCUCCUAAGGCUAAAUACUCUCUAGUGACCGAUAGUGAACCAGUACCGUGAGGGAAAGGUGAAAAGCACCCCGGAAGGGGAGUGAAAUAGAACCUGAAACCGUGUGCUUACAAGUAGUCAGAGCCCGUUAAUGGGUGAUGGCGUGCCUUUUGUAGAAUGAACCGGCGAGUUACGAUUUGAUGCAAGGUUAAGCAGUAAAUGUGGAGCCGUAGCGAAAGCGAGUCUGAAUAGGGCGUUUAGUAUUUGGUCGUAGACCCGAAACCAGGUGAUCUACCCUUGGUCAGGUUGAAGUUCAGGUAACACUGAAUGGAGGACCGAACCGACUUACGUUGAAAAGUGAGCGGAUGAACUGAGGGUAGCGGAGAAAUUCCAAUCGAACCUGGAGAUAGCUGGUUCUCUCCGAAAUAGCUUUAGGGCUAGCCUCAAGUGAUGAUUAUUGGAGGUAGAGCACUGUUUGGACGAGGGGCCCCUCUCGGGUUACCGAAUUCAGACAAACUCCGAAUGCCAAUUAAUUUAACUUGGGAGUCAGAACAUGGGUGAUAAGGUCCGUGUUCGAAAGGGAAACAGCCCAGACCACCAGCUAAGGUCCCAAAAUAUAUGUUAAGUGGAAAAGGAUGUGGCGUUGCCCAGACAACUAGGAUGUUGGCUUAGAAGCAGCCAUCAUUUAAAGAGUGCGUAAUAGCUCACUAGUCGAGUGACACUGCGCCGAAAAUGUACCGGGGCUAAACAUAUUACCGAAGCUGUGGAUUGUCCUUUGGACAAUGGUAGGAGAGCGUUCUAAGGGCGUUGAAGCAUGAUCGUAAGGACAUGUGGAGCGCUUAGAAGUGAGAAUGCCGGUGUGAGUAGCGAAAGACGGGUGAGAAUCCCGUCCACCGAUUGACUAAGGUUUCCAGAGGAAGGCUCGUCCGCUCUGGGUUAGUCGGGUCCUAAGCUGAGGCCGACAGGCGUAGGCGAUGGAUAACAGGUUGAUAUUCCUGUACCACCUAUAAUCGUUUUAAUCGAUGGGGGGACGCAGUAGGAUAGGCGAAGCGUGCGAUUGGAUUGCACGUCUAAGCAGUAAGGCUGAGUAUUAGGCAAAUCCGGUACUCGUUAAGGCUGAGCUGUGAUGGGGAGAAGACAUUGUGUCUUCGAGUCGUUGAUUUCACACUGCCGAGAAAAGCCUCUAGAUAGAAAAUAGGUGCCCGUACCGCAAACCGACACAGGUAGUCAAGAUGAGAAUUCUAAGGUGAGCGAGCGAACUCUCGUUAAGGAACUCGGCAAAAUGACCCCGUAACUUCGGGAGAAGGGGUGCUCUUUAGGGUUAACGCCCAGAAGAGCCGCAGUGAAUAGGCCCAAGCGACUGUUUAUCAAAAACACAGGUCUCUGCUAAACCGUAAGGUGAUGUAUAGGGGCUGACGCCUGCCCGGUGCUGGAAGGUUAAGAGGAGUGGUUAGCUUCUGCGAAGCUACGAAUCGAAGCCCCAGUAAACGGCGGCCGUAACUAUAACGGUCCUAAGGUAGCGAAAUUCCUUGUCGGGUAAGUUCCGACCCGCACGAAAGGCGUAACGAUUUGGGCACUGUCUCAACGAGAGACUCGGUGAAAUCAUAGUACCUGUGAAGAUGCAGGUUACCCGCGACAGGACGGAAAGACCCCGUGGAGCUUUACUGUAGCCUGAUAUUGAAAUUCGGCACAGCUUGUACAGGAUAGGUAGGAGCCUUUGAAACGUGAGCGCUAGCUUACGUGGAGGCGCUGGUGGG